rnacentral:rRNA from 1 species
CCCUUAGAUGUUCUGGGCCGCACGCGCGCUACACUGAUGCAUUCAACGAGUCUAAAACCUGCUCUGAUAGGGGUGGGUAAUCUUUUGAAUGUGCAUCGUGAUUGGGAUAGAUGAUUGCAAUUUUUCAUCUUCAACGAGGAAUGCCUAGUAAACGCAAGUCAUCAGCUUGCAUUGAUUACGUCCCUGCCCUUUGUACACACCGCCCGUCGCUCCUACCGAUUGAAUGGUCCGGUGAAGCGUUUGGACUAUGGUUUUCUGAUGGUCCGCCGUUGGAUUACCGUGGGAAGUUCGUUAAACCUUAUCAUUUAGAGGAAGGAGAAGUCGUAACA